UGGGGAAUUUUGGACAAUGGGCGAAAGCCUGAUCCAGCAAUGCCGCGUGUGUGAAGAAGGCCUUCGGGUUGUAAAGCACUUUUGUCCGGAAAGAAAUCCUUGGCUCUAAUACAGUCGGGGGAUGACGGUACCGGAAGAAUAAGCACCGGCUAACUACGUGCCAGCAGCCGCGGUAAUACGUAGGGUGCAAGCGUUAAUCGGAAUUACUGGGCGUAAAGCGUGCACAGGCGGUUUGCUAAGACCGAUGUGAAAUCCCCGGGCUCAACCUGGGAACUGCAUUGGUGACUGGCAGGCUAGAGUAUGGCAGAGGGGGGUAGAAUUCCACGUGUAGCAGUGAAAUGCGUAGAGAUGUGGAGGAAUACCGAUGGCGAAGGCAGCCCCCUGGGCCAAUACUGACGCUCAUGCACGAAAGCGUGGGGGAGCAAAACAGGAUUAGAUACCCUGGUAGUCCACGCCCUAAAACGAUGUCAACUAGUUGUUGGGGAUUCAUUUCCUUAGUAACGUAGCUAACGCGUGAAGUUGACCGCCUGGGGGAGUACGGUCGCAAGAUUAAAACUCAAAUGAAUUGACGGGGUCAAGCUGUUUCCU
rnacentral:rRNA from 1 species